ensembl:lncRNA
CCCCUUCCAACUGUCCUCGGAGUCGUAGACGAUCUUCUCGCUGCUGACAUCCACGAGUUUGUCUCUGACCUCGUUAAGCCUUUGCACGAUGUACACCUCGUCCCGCAGCUCAUGUAGAAUGGCAUCCACCGAUCCAUGAAUUCUCUGGGGGUUAACCCACAAACCACACCAACUUAAUGCUUGAGCAAUGAAAUGUUUAAGUUCCACAAAGAAUUUGUCAAAGAAAUACGCAUCAGGUUCAGACAGGAGUGUCUAAUCUGUGUCACAGUUCGGUCUGAUCAGAACUCAAAUUCCCAAGAUGCAAUACUCACUUCUCAGGCACGCAUGCGCUCACCAUCCCCGGAGUUCUGAUCAGACACACCUGGCACCAAUCACACACACACACACUAGUACUUAGGGAAGACAUCCACCCAGAAUCUACGCGAAGUAUACGCUCAGUAGCUUAGUUCUCUGCGUUACCAAGCCGUUCUAGUUCGUUUGUUCCUCGUGAUCCUUGACCCUUGUUUUCAGUCUCGACUAUGCUUUCCGGAUAUCCCCGUGUGUAUUGUUCGUCCGAUCUCUUGACCCUUGCCUACUCUACGACUACGCUUCUUGAACUUCCCGAUCCUACGCUCUUCACCCGCCUCCCGCUCCUGCUUCCUUACCGUUUCGAGGUUUGUGACAGAAUACUUCGCCGACUAAUGGAAGCAGCGGGAGAUCGCUGGCCGCACGCCAUCGAGGGACAUGGCCGUAUGAUUAGUGAACAUGAUCGCCGCCUCGCCCACCUAACUGAGCAGGUAGCUCGGUUAAAUCAAGCUGCGCCGUCUUCUACGGCGCCGACCCCACGCUUACCUCCCACUCCAGCGCCGGAGAAGUAUGAUGGAGAUCCCGCACGCUGUCAAGGUUUUCUACUCCAGUGCUCCCUGUUUUUUUCCACGUACCCAGACAUGACGGAGAAUCAGAAGAUAAUCCACUUCAUGGAACUUUUAACCGGGAAAGUUCUCCUCUGGGCUACCGCGGAAUGGGAACAGGAGGGGAACCGUAUCAGCACGUUUGAGCAGCUAACCUCACACUUCCGCACUGUAUUUGAUCACUCUCCAGACAGCCGGGAGACUGGGGAGGACUUAUUGUCCUUGGUGCAGGGAUCACGUAGUGCGGCGGAUUAUGCCCGCGAACAUCUGAGAGCCCUAGUGAACCCAUGCAGCUGGGACAGACUCGGGUGAGCAUGCAGGAAAGAGAACGAAGGCGCCGUGAACACUGUUGUUUCUAUUGCGGUGAGAAGGGCCACUUCGUGCAACAAUGCCCUCUCAAACAGGGCUCUACCCGAGGGGAAACCAAAACUGCCAGACCACCUCAGGCAGGGGUAAGUUUCGAACCCAUUACCCAGCACUCUGUUCGGUCUGCCUUCGUAUUGCCCGUUAUAUUGGGUUACUCAAGUGUUUCCUGUAUUUUAGAAGCGCUGAUCGACUCGGGAGCGGCGGGGAACUUCAUUAACCAGGAGACCAUACUCCAAUAUAACAUCCCCGUUCGUCCUCUCUGCACCCCCCGCCGUGUCCAAGCCAUUGAUGGGGCCCCCAUAGGAGAUGGCUUAAUCACCCACUGUACCAAACCCAUUAACCGCCGCACCAGCGCCCUUCAUCAGGAGAAGAUCACGUUCCAUGUCAUUGUGACUGCCCGGCACCCAGUGGUUCUCGGUCUCCCUUGGCUCGAACAUCACAAUCCACAAAUUUCGUGGAAUCAGAGGGAAAUCACUCGCUGGUGUUGUGGAUAAAAAAUGUCAUAAAAUAAACAUAAGGGAGACCUAGCAUCCAGCAAAGGGGAGAAGAAGAAGAGACGGGCACCUAGACACAUAGAAGCGGGAUUAGGCGGACAUUGACAAAUUGGAAUUACACUUUAAAGAUCUUUAAGAGCAGUAAUAGUCAAAAAAGUCAAAAAGAGGUAUACGAGCUGAGCUGAGGAGGGCUAAUACACACACACACACACGCUCGUACAGUCAAGGGCGGGAAAGUAGACACAACAUACACACACACUCUCUCUUUCUCAUACACACACAUGAAUAACUUUAAUAAUAUCUUAUAGUAAUAGAGAAACUAUAUAAAAAACAGAAUAGUAGGAUAUGCAGGACAGUAGAACUGUAAUGAUAUUAAGAAGUUGGAAGUACAGUAAACCGCUUUUCAAGUAGUAUAAAUAUAUAUAAAAUAAGAAAUAUAGUGCAAAUAUGAAAAUAAAUUAUAAACUAGAAAUACAGGAAAAAUAUAACUUACUCAUGAUUCAGAUGGUGAAGAUUCUCGUCUCGCAAGGAAGGCCUUAAUUUUAAGAGAACCAUGAAGAGAGCCAGUUAUAAGGGUGGGUCAAACUGCCCCCCCUCGAGAUAACGAUAAGACCAAGGUCCCUCCCGGUUGUUUAGUCUUGUCUACGUCAUCUUAUUUCCCUAGGUAAAUGAGAAUUCUGGUUUCUGACCCCCUAAGGUAACUGAGAAGUCUGGUUUCUGACGCCCUAGGUAACUGAAAAAUUCUGGUUUCUGAUCCUCUGAGUAACUAGAAAAUCUGGGUUUUUAUUUUCUGGGUUAUUGGAAAUGCCUGGGUUCUGAUUUUAUGUGUAAAUUAAAACCCCUGGUUUCAAUUCUAUGUGUAAGUGAAAUCGCCCUUUUCUGGAACAUAAGAGUAAGGUAAAUGAGCUCUUUUUUAACCCUAUUGGUAGUGAGAUCAUAGUCUUUUUGAAACAUAUGGGUUAUUUAGUGUGUAAAUACAGUAUAAAUACUGGAGCUUAAGCUCAGGGUAUUGGGAUCACUUUUGAGAAUUCUCAUCGGUGUGGAUCUCGUGUGGUGGAAUGGAACAAUAAAGCUGGA